CAUCGCGUUGUGCAAUGGAUGACGCGUCUGCCUACGGAGCAGAAGAUUGCAGGUUCGAAUCCUACUGUGGUCG
rfam:Ancylostoma duodenale strain Zhejiang A_duodenale-1.0_Cont242013.1, whole genome shotgun sequence.